rnacentral:lncRNA from 1 species
UUUUUUUUUUUUUUUUUUGAAGAUUGGCCCUGAGCUAACAUCUAUUGCCAAUUUUCCUUUUUCUUUUUUCCUCCCCAAAGCCCCAGUACAUAGUUGUAUAUCUGAGUCAUAAGUCAUUCUAGUUUCUUUAUGUGGGAUGCCACCACAGCACGGCUUGAUGAGCGGUGUAUAGGUCUGCGCCCAGGAUCCGAACCCCUGGGAACCCUGGGCCGCUGAAGCGGAGCAUGAGAACUUAACCACCCGGCCCCAGAAGUUAAGGAUUUUUAAAGUAUCAUUGCUAUCUUUUUUGAAAUUGUUGCCAUGAUAGCUGUGGAAUUCUCAUUAUACCUGAGAGGUGGGAGGCCAAUAGAUGCUAUGGAGAAAGCUGUUAGGAGUCCUACUAGCUUCUUGGGCAGGACUUCAAGAGGUGGGAAGAACUUGUCGAUCUCAAUGAUAUUGUCUCAGAUUUGCAGCUCAGGGAUGGGCAUCCCCAAACUGGGCUUGAUCACUCUGUUUAAAAUAUUUUAGAUUUCGGACACUACUUCAAAACCAAUCAAAUUCAGAAGAGACUGCCAAUUCACUAUUUUUCAACAGAACAUUUAUCUGGCAGGAUAAUCUAACUUGUUUACUAAGAGAAUUUCUUCCUAGUGGGUGAAUUUACAUAGGAGGCCAAAUCAGAAAUCAGACUGUUGGGCCAGCCCGGUGGUGCAGCGGUUAAGUCCGCACGUUUCGCUUCGGCGGCCUGAGGUUCACCAGUUUGGAUCCCGGGUGCAGACAUGGCACUGUUUGGCAGGCCAUGCUGUGGUAGGUGACCCACAGAUAAAGUAGAGGACGAUGGGCACGGAUGUUAGCUCAGGGCCAGCCUUCCUCAGCAAAAAGAGGACGAUUGGCAGCAGAUGUUAGCUCAGGGCUAAUCUUCCUCAAAAAAAAAAAAAAAAAUCAGAUUGUCGGACAAGCAUAUAAUUAGGAACCAGAUGUUACUAAGAAGUAUGUGAUUUAGUCAUUCCUUGCUUAAAAAUCUUUCAGUCUUCCCAUUGCUUUCAGGAUAAAAUCCAAAGUCUUUAUUGAUCUCUCCUCCUCCUUUCUUUUCAAAUCUCACCUCAAGCAUUUCCAGAUAGUCCAAACACACUGAACUACUUAAAAUUGCCUUACUUUUAGGAUAAAUUUCCUCUUAUUUUGGCAAAAUGCAUAUCUGUACCUCCAAACCCUGCUCAAAGAUCUAUAUUCCUCAGCAACUCAGUUUUUCAAGCCAGCAACAAUCACUCCAUCCUCCACGUUUCCACAGCAAUCUGUACGUCUCUCUAUCAACACUUAACCGUUAUAAUUACUAACUUACAUGUUCCUGUCCCUCACUGAAACGUGAGUUUCUAGGGAGUUGGGACAAUCUUAUUUAUCUAUUAAAUCUUAGUGUUUGGUACACAGUAGAAAUGCAAAAAAUGCCUUUAAACGGCUUGCUGGCUAUGUCCAUUAAACUAGGUGGUAAGUUGGCUGUGUCCAUCUCUCAAUAAUUCCAGAAUAUUCUGUUUUAUAAAAUAUUCCCCUUUACAUUCCGUUAGACCAGUGGUUAGCUCAAGGUUUUGAAUUUUGUAAGUAAAAAAAAAUUUUUUUUUAACGUUUUGGGGAGCAAUGAAGAACAUUUAAAAGAAAAAGCUACCAUCCAUUGACAUCACAAUUUCAAAAUAUAUGUCAAGUCUAAAACAUCAGGAAAGAUUUAAUUUCAAAAUAAUAGGCAGUCUUUUAUUUAUUUUUUUUGAGGAAGAUUAGCCCUGAGCUAACAUCUGCCGCCAAUCCCCCUCUUUCUGCUGAGGAAGAUUGGCCCUGAGCUAACAUCCGUGCCCAUCUUCCUCUACUUUAUAUGUGCGAUGCCUGCCACAGCAUGGCGUGCCAAGCGGUGCCAUGUCCGCACCCGGGAUCCGAACCAGCAAACCCCAGGCCGCAGAAGCAGAACGCGCAAACUUAACCGCUGCGCCACCAGGCCGGCCCCCAGGCAGUCUUUUAAAUUGAACAAAUUUAACUUCAUAGAAAGUUCUCUAGAUUGUCUUUAUUUUUCAUUUCACCACCAACUGGUGAAAAAUAGCAUUUGGGAAACACUGAACUGGACCAGUGUCCUCCCAAAAUAAUUUUGAAAUACUAUGUACCAUUUUAUACAUUCUUAAGGUAGCAUCUGAGAUAUUUUCAUUGUAUGUCUAAAUUGUAAUGAAUAUCAUUUCUGGCAUGUUGUAAAUAUUGACACUACAAAAUAAAAUGAUAUCUUCAUAGAAAAUAUUCAAUGGAAUCUAUAUACUACAAUUAUUUGAUAUCCACCAUCAUUUAAAAAUACAUGAAAAAAUAGUUAGAAAAUUUACAUUAUUCCUUUAUUUUCAUUCCACUUCCCCACAGUUUUAUAAUAUGAUAUUUAUACUCAAAACUCUAUCAAUUUAAAUUUAAUUUAAAAAGUUUCUAUGACCCUAAAUGUUAUAAAAUAUCCUGAAAUGAGUUACGAUUACAAUUAUCAGUGCACUUUUUAUCAAAGCAACAUAAACAUAUUGAUAUUAGACAUGACAUAAAAAUGUACUGAAAACGCCAUUUCUUAAUUAGCUGUUUUUCAGUUAAUGUGCCAAGAAUCUGUUCGCUAGAAGGAGAGUUUGUCACACAUUUUAUUCUUUUUUCUUCUUUUGAAUACAUGCUGAGAACAUCUGUGCACAAAAAAUUAUGGAUGAUGGAAAUAGAAGUUUAGUUUUAGCUAUGUCACAAAAUUCUUUAAACCACUUCCAAGUUAUGUGUGAAAAACCCUGAGUGAUCUCUCUCUGCAAAUUAUUCCUAAGGAUCAACCAACACUUCAACAAAGUCCUUCUUCAGUUUUGUUGAAAGCAAAAGCUGGAGUCGAAACAGUGUAGCUAUCAUGCGAUUAGGGACAUUUACUUUCUCCCUUUGUCUCUGGUGUCCCUUUUCCAACCCGGGGCCAUGUAACACAGUCAGAUUAGGGAUCGGUGAAAGGUUUGCCUUUCCUGGCGGAGCGGGGGAAGGGUGACUGUGAAAGGGGAAGUCGGAAAGGAAAACCAGCUUGGGAGGC